rnacentral:rRNA from 1 species
AGGGAAUCUUCCACAAUGGACGCAAGUCUGAUGGAGCAACGCCGCGUGAGUGAAGAAGGUUUUCGGACCGUAAAGCUCUGUUGUUGGUGAAGAAGGAUAGAGGUAGUAACUGGCCUUUUAUUUGACGGUAAUCAACCAGAAAGUCACGGCUAACUACGUGCCAGCAGCCGCGGUAAUACGUAGGUGGCAAGCGUUGUCCGGAUUUAUUGGGCGUAAAGCGAGCGCAGGCGGAAGAAUAAGUCUGAUGUGAAAGCCCUCGGCUUAACCGAGGAAUUGCAUCGGAAACUGUUUUCUUGAGUGCAGAAGAGGAGAGUAGAACUCCAUGUGUAGCGGUGGAAUGCGUAGAUAUAUGGAAGAAUACCAGUGGCGAAGGCGGCUCUCUGGUCUGCAACUGACGCUGAGGCUCGAAAGCAUGGGUAGCGAACAGGAUUAGAUACCCUGGUAGUCCAUGCCGUAAACGAUGAGUGCUAAGUGUUGGGAGGCUUCCGCCUCUCAGUGCUGCAGCUAACGCAUUAAGCACUCCGCCUGGGGGAGUACGACCGCAAGGUUGAAAC